AUUCCAUCUGGGUUAUUGUUGAUAGGCUGACAAAAUCAGCCCAUUUUCUCCCCGUCAGAACUACUUACUCCGCUGAGGAUUAUGCCAGGCUUUAUAUUAAAGAAAUUGUGCGACUUCAUGGAGUUCCUAUAUCUAUUAUCACUGACAGAGGUGCUCAGUUCACAGCGAAUUUCUGGAGAUCUUUUCAGGAAGGAUUAGGGACUCAGCUGAGCCUGAGCACAGCUUUUCAUCCUCAGAGUGACGGACAGGCCGAGCGCACUAUCCAGACGCUUGAAGAUAUGUUGCGGGCCUGUGUUAUUGAUUUCAGAGGUAGCUGGGAGGAUCACUUGCCAUUGAUUGAAUUUUCUUAUAAUAACAGCUACCAUUCCAGUAUCCAGAUGGCCCCGUACGAGGCUUUAUAUGGUAGGAAAUGCAGGUCACCUAUCGGCUGGUUUGAUAUUGGCGAGACAGAGUUAAUUGGCCCAGAUAUGAUCCAGCAGGCCGUUGAUAAGGUGAAACUUAUUCGGGAGCGGCUAUUGGCAGCCCAGAGUCGACAGAAAUCAUACGCUGAUAAACGGCGUCGUCCUUUGGAAUUCCAGGUUGGUGAUUGGGUAUUUCUGAAGGUAUCGCCUAUGAAAGGCGUAAUGCGGUUAGGCAGAAAGGGCAAACUUAGUCUGCGUUAUAUUGGGCCUUAUUUGAUUGUGCGGAAAAAUUGGGAAUGUCGCCUAUUAGUUAGAUCUGCCAUCUGAAUUGGAAGCGGUACAUCCGGUAUUCCAUGUAUCUAUGCUCCGCAAAUGCAUUGGUGAUCCCUCCCAAAUAUUUCCUGCGGAUGAUAUUCAGGUGACGGAGCAGUUAUCUUAUGAGGAGCAGCCCGUAGCUAUUUUGGACCGCCAGGUAAGAAAGCUCCGAAACAAAGAUGUAGCCUCUGUUAAGGUGCUGUGGCGUAACAAUAAUAGGGAGGAAAUGACCUGGGAGGCCGAAGAGGAGAUGAAGAAGAAAUAUCCUCAUUUGUUCCCAGUGCCCUCAGUUGGUUUGGAGAAAGGAGACCUUAUUUCAUCAAAGUGAACACAAGUUCAAGUGAAGAAGACUUGAGGAAAAGAUUUUUGACGAAACGGGAAGUGAGUUUGGAAAGGCGUAAAGAGCUUGAAAGGUACUGACGAUAGGUUUACCGAUCCGUCUGUCUAGGAUAUCUUUUCCGCCAUUUGGAGCGCUCUUUUAUUCAGAGCCAUCUUUUGGUACAGUCUGUC